rnacentral:tRNA from 1 species
GGUCCUAUAGUGUAGAGGUUAUCACAGCGGAUUCUGAUGCCAGUACUCCAAAGAGCCUAUGUUCCGCUAACGCAGGUUCGAGUCCUGCUAGGACCU